rnacentral:rRNA from 1 species
UACGUAGGGGGCAAGCGUUGUCCGGAAUUAUUGGGCGUAAAGCGCGCGCAGGCGGUUUCUUAAGUCUGAUGUGAAAUCUUGUGGCUCAACCACAAGCGGUCAUUGGAAACUGGGGAACUUGAGUACAGAAGAGGAGAGCGGAAUUCCACGUGUAGCGGUGAAAUGCGUAGAUAUGUGGAGGAACACCAGUGGCGAAGGCGGCUCUCUGGUCUGUAACUGACGCUGAGGUGCGAAAGCGUGGGGAGCGAACAGGAUUAGAUACCCCCGUAGUCC